AAAAGGUGGGGUCGUAGGUACUGUGUGUUUGAUUUUCUUGAGCUAUUUUUUUGGUUUAGAGAAGCAUGUGUUAGGAUUUUUAAUAUGAAAUAAUACAAUAAUUGUGACGUGUGAUGGGUUGGAUGGUGUGUUUCGUGGUAGUUUAAUUGAGAGUUACUUUGCUGGUUAAUGUGAUGUUCAAAAUUUAGGUUGAAUCGUUCCGACUGGGUUUGAGGCAUAAUAUCAAAUUGCAUGGAGAACAGAUGAGCAUUGGCCUACAUUCCACGAGGAAUAUAUCAACCGUUUGAACAAUAUGUGCGAGGUUUUAGCUAGCCGUGAAGCCAUUAUCGCGCCAGAGUUAGCCUGUAAUCCAAAGUACAGGUCAUGGUUUAAGGUCUAUGGCAAGCCAUAUUUGCUAGUAGAAGAGGUGAAGGGUAGGCAACAGCAUACGAGAAUGCCACGAUGAGUGCCUAGGCAUCUAAGGUUUAGAGCAACUGCCGAAGGGAGCCCAUUCUUUACACCUACGCAAGAACUGGCACCGAUGUCGCACCACCCUCAACUAGUAUGGCUCGACUUAUUCUGGUGCUUUCAUUAACCGUGUCAUUUUUACGUAAGCACUACAUCUGGCACCAUAUUUUUCUGUUUCCACAUCAAUGUCAGGUUUUAUUCUUGGACCUCUGUCCCCGGCAGAUUAUACGCCGAUGCCAUCAACGUUUGAAACGACAAUGAUUCCAAUGAUGAUGUAGAGGUUGUCUAUGUUUAGGGUACCAG
rnacentral:lncRNA from 1 species